rnacentral:rRNA from 1 species
UACGUAGGGACCAAGCGUUGUUCGGAUUUACUGGGCGUAAAGGGUGCGUAGGCGGCUUUGUAAGUCAGUGGUGAAAUAUGGCAGCUCAACUGUCAGGGUGCCAUUGAUACUGCGGAGCUUGAGUACAGAUGAGGUAGGCGGAAUUGACGGUGUAGCGGUGAAAUGCUUAGAUAUCGUCAAGAACACCGGUGGCGAAGGCGACAUCCUGGACCGGUAUUGACGCUGAGGCGCGAAAGCCAGGGGAGCAAACGGG